rnacentral:rRNA from 1 species
CCUACGGGUGGCAGCAGUGAGGAAUAUUGGUCAAUGGGCGGGAGCCUGAACCAGCCAAGUCGCGUGAGGGAAGACGGUCCUAUGGAUUGUAAACCUCUUUAGUCGGGGAGCAAUGCCGGGCACGCGUGCCCGGCGGGAGAGUACCCGCAGACUAAGCCUCGGCUAACUCCGUGCCAGCAGCCGCGUUAAUACGGAGGAUGCGAGCGUUCUCCGGAUUUAUUGGGUUUAAGGGGUUCGCAGGCGGAUUUUUAAGUCAGCGGUAAAAUGUCGGGGAUAAACCCGGGCCGGCCGUUGAAACUGGGGAGCUUGAGUGGGCGAGAAGUAUGCGGAAUGCGUGGUGUAGCGGUGAAAUGCAUAGAGAUCACGCAGAACUCCGAUUGCGAAGGCAGCAUACCGGAGCACGACUGACGCUGAGGCACGAAAGCGUGGGGAUCGAACAGGAUUAGAUACCCGUGUAGUC